rnacentral:rRNA from 1 species
AUUGAACGCUGGCGGCAGGCCUAACACAUGCAAGUCGAGCGAGCGGCGGACGGGUGAGUAAUGUAUGGGGACUGCCCGAUAGAGGGGGAUAACUACUGGAGACGGUGGCUAAUACCGCAUACUAUCGGAUAACCCAUAGGGGAUUAGCUAGUAGGUGGGGUAAAGGCUCACCUGGGCGACGAUCUCUAGCUUGUCUGAGAGGAUGAUCGGCCAAACGGGGACUGGAAAACGGCCCAGACUCCAACGGAGGCAGAAGGGGGGAAUAUUGCACAAUGGGCGCAGGCCGGAUGCAGCCAGGCCGCGGGUAUGAAGAAGGCCUUAGGGUUGUAAAGUACUUUCAGCGGGGAGGCGUUACCCGCAGAAGAAGCACCGGCUAACUCCGUGCCAGCAGCCGCGGUAAUUC